ensembl:lncRNA
ACAGAACAAGAGGAGGAAACAAAGUCCCACUCAAAGUGUAUAUUUCACACACGUGCAGGGGGCUCACACAUGUCAGCUCCACAUGAGCCCCUAUCCACACACACACACACACACACACACACACACACACACACACACACACACACACACACACACACACACACACACACACACCAUGCGGGCAUGUGCAAGCACUGCCCACUAUGGUGCAGGAAUGGCCAUUGAAACAGUGCUUCCCGCACUAAACGACCUUUCCUGGUCACCUUCAGACGUGCACGAGCAUCGUCCCCGUGCUCAUCGUCAUAACAACGGGAGGGGGUCCCGAUCCGUGCCGAGGACCUCCAGUAGGCCUCCUGCAACCAAUCCAAGAGCGAGAGAGCGACCGAUGGUGCGCCACACGCCUCCCCCGUGUCCCUGCGCAAGGUUACCGGGCCGGCCCAACUCAACCCCACCCGGAGCGGGUCCCCCGGCCGCGGAUCGUUACCACAUCGAAUCGACCCCCCCGCUGCUCAGCGCUGCAGGUGCGACGGGGCCGUAACCGGGACAAACAACAACGGCGCAGCCCGGCGCACACUGGCGAGGAGAGCGGCAGCCUCCAUCCGCGGACACGGGACACGCACCGAUGGGUGGAGGGAUGGGUGGAGAUCCGUGGCUACACACACGCGCAUUCACGCGCGCACACGCGCACACACGCAUUCUCCCUCAUGAUGCAUGCCAGCAGAAUGAUGACAGCGGAGUGCGGCCUGUGCUGAGACGUGCCACAUUCGGCCCACUUUCCCGCUGGUCCGUGCUACAUGCUACCGACGCAUCGCGGCGCGUCUCCACGCACAGAAUCACGGGUAGAGGGCAGUGACGCACGCGGGCGCGCACGGACUCACCGUGCAGGCCGAGCUCAAGGACAUCCGCGCGCGAGCGGGGAGGCAGAAUCCCCUUUAAUCUGCGUGCGCGUGGAGCGGAGAACGUCCCGAGCCGGAGGAGAGCGGCUGUGGGUCGGGCGGGGGGGCGGGAGGGGGUCGCAGAAGGCGGUCGCAGACGCGCAGGGAUGAGAGACGACGACGGCGCCGAUGGAUGCUCCGCUCCGGCACCCGACGGUCGGCUGGCGGGGAGACAGGGAGACAGAGAGACAGGGAGACAGGGAGACAGGGAGACAGACAGGGAGAGGAUGCGCCGGGUUGGGGUUUUAAACACCUCCGUUGCAGGGGGGGGGGGGGCAGUCCGCGCGCCAGACGAUGGGCUAGCUGCUAAUAUGGCAGAAUCAGGUUAACUGUUAAGGGCACUGCGAGAAAAAGAAAAGGAAAAACGAAAAGAGACGCCGCGCUGAGAGGAGAAGCUCAUGCGACAUCUUCGGAGGAGGAGGAGGGGUUCAGCCACUGACAGAGCCGCCCGCACAGGAGCUCGGUCGCAGCAUCCGAGAGAGGAAGUGAUGGAGGGGGGAGGGAUGCUGACGCGUCACCCCCACCGGCUGACAGCGUGAUGACGACAGCGAGCCGCCGCAGUGCAGCCGCCUCACCUCCGGAGUUUAAGAGCAAUAGUUGGAAUGCUGUUCAAGAACUAUUGCUCUUCACAUCGUUAUUCAACUCCUUCAUAUUCAUACACAUGUUUCUCCCACGCCACAUUCCAGCUCCUCCAAAUCAUCAGCUAUUAAACCCGUUCAGCUAUCAACAUUCAGGACUUUACCUCUUGAAUUAUAUAAAUCAAUAUUCUAAAUAAUUGAAAAAAGGUUCUUCAAAUUUCAAAUCCUUCUUCUUCUUCAAUCUUUACAACCACCCUUUGAACUCAGAAAAUCAGCUUGUUGAGAUCUAUUCAAUUCCUUCAAUAUCACUGAUUAUCUUUCAUCAGGAAACAUUUAUUGGCAUAAUAUUCCAUAAUAUAUAUAUAUAUAUUAUUGCCAUAAUAUGUCAGACAUAAGGAAUGUGACUUGGCGGUUGGUGCGUGACAGCAGACAGUGAACAAGACAACAGUGCACGAGGAAUAAGAUCAAAUAUAAUGCGUUCAGGAGUUUUUCAGAGCGUUUCGGGAAUUUUCAUGUGUGUGCAAACGAGAAAUAAUGCAAACUGACAUGAUGGAGUGGAGGGGAGCGUCAGAAUGAUCUAUUUUGCUUUAAUUAUAUUUUAUGAGUAAAGUUUAAUAUGCAGGAAAAUGCCCUGCUCUUUACGUGAUGUAACCACCAGAUCCAGGACGAGUUUCCCUGAAUCUCAACGUGCAGCUUGAAUCAGAGUUCAUGUCCGAGCAGGAGGAACCCACUCUCAAUCUUCUCAACCUCUUCCACUCAGUGCAGCCGUGGAGCUGAGGCUGAAGGCUGAAGGCUGAAGGCUGAAGGCAUCAAGACAUCCAGCAUCUCGAGCACGACCAGAGAUGCUGUCAUUCAGGGUCGACCUCGUGGAGUCGAUGGGUCAACUCAUAAAGAGUGUGAUGAUGCUGGUGAAGACGCUGUUUCACAGGAUCUUGCAAUACAAAAGAUGAAAAUCUACAGGAACAAGACGAACACGUCGGAGAGUCCAGACGUCGGUAUCGUGUUGGACGGAGUAAAAGUUCUGACUGCACCGAGGGACUUUCCAAGGGCUUUCUGUCUGCUGGUUGGGUUUGCGUGUGCAGUCAAUCUUUCACAUUCAAAGAAACUUAAACACAUUUAAGGUGUUCCAAGUUUUUUGGAGCUGAACUGUUCAAACCUUUGACCCCUGAAGAAAAAAAGGGGAUUGUUGUUACUGUUAGAACUCUCCAGUGUGGUUACUGUUUGUUCAAUGCAUUUUAAUUAUAUUUUUAAGAUUCACAUUGAGAAGUUUAGGUUUGGCUCUUUCCUGGAGUUUAGUUUUAGUGUUGCUAUCUAGUGUUAAUGCUGCUUUAUUUGUGUUGUUCAAAUGUAUAUAAACCAUGCUCAUUUAAUGCAGCUUUUCCUGUAUGUAUUUAUAGAAAUUGGCACAAAUAAAGUUUAACCUGCUGUACUUAUGUAUGAUGAUGUGUUUGUAAAGUUAAGUUAAGUGAUCUAGACAUAGAAAAAUUGUGGCAACAAAGUGACACGUAAUUGUAUUGAAUAGAUUUAAACAAUUAAUUUAAGUCCAGAAGGGCAAUGGUAAUGUGUUGAAUUAACUAACAAUGUGCUAAAAUGUGAGUUGAUAUAACUUAUUUUAUUCAGUAAAUCAAAUUUAAUUUUACCAAGAUUAGUAGUAUAUAACACUCAAUUUCAGUAAAUAUACAUACAUUCCACCCAAAUAUUCAGUAACUGCUAAUCAAUUACACCCAAAUAUUCAGUAACUAAAUCAAUUCCACCCAAAUAUUCAAUAACUGCUAAUCAAUUCCACCCGAAUAUGAAGUAAAUAUAAAUUAAUUCCACCCAAAUAUUCAGUAACUGUAAAUCAAUUACACCAGAAUAUUAAGUAAAUAUAAA